rnacentral:rRNA from 1 species
UACGAAGGGGGCUAGCGUUGCUCGGAAUUACUGGGCGUAAAGCGCACGUAGGCGGCUCUUCAAGUCGGGGGUGAAAUCCUGGAGCUCAACUCCAGAACUGCCUUCGAUACUGAAGAGCUCGAGUCCGGGAGAGGUGAGUGGAACUGCGAGUGUAGAGGUGAAAUUCGUAGAUAUUCGCAAGAACACCAGUGGCGAAGGCGGCUCACUGGCCCGGUACUGACGCUGAGGUGCGAAAGCGUGGGGAGCAAACAGG